rnacentral:rRNA from 1 species
AACGAACGCUGGCGGCAGGCUUAACACAUGCAAGUCGAGCGAAGCCUUCGGGCUUAGCGGCGGACGGGUGAGUAACGCGUGGGAACGGGCCCUUCUGUGCGGAAUAGUCCCUGGAAAACGGGGUUUAAUACCGCAUACGCCCUUUGGGGGAAAGAUUUAUCGCAGAAGGAUCGGCCCGCGUCUGAUUAGGUAGUUGGUGGGGUAAUGGCCUACCAAGCCGACGAUCAGUAGCUGGUUUUUAGAGGAUGAUCAGCCACACUGGGACUGAGACACGGCCCAGACUCCUACGGGAGGCAGCAGUGGGGAAUCUUAGACAAUGGGCGCAAGCCUGAUCUAGCCAUGCCGCGUGAGUGAUGAAGGUCUUAGGAUCGUAAAGCUCUUUCGCUGGGGAAGAUAAUGACGGUACCCAGUAAAGAAACCCCGGCUAACUCCGUG